GUUCUAGCGGCGGACGGGUGAGUAACGCGUGAGCAACCUGUCCCUUACAGGGGAGUAACACAGCGAAAGUUAGUACUAAUACCGCAUAAGACCACAGAGUGACAUCGCUCAGGGGUCAAAGGAGCAAUCCGGUAAGGGGUGGGCUCGCGUCCGAUUAGAUAGUUGGUGAGGUAACGGCCCACCCAAGUCGACGAUCGGUAGCCGACCUGAGAGGGUGAUCGGCCACAUUGGGACUGAGACACGGCCCAAACUCCUACGGGAGGCAGCAGUGGGGAAUAUUGGGCAAUGGGGGGAAACCCUGACCCAGCAACGCCGCGUGAGGGAAGAAGGUUUUCGGAUCGUAAACCUCUGUCCUUGGUGAAGAGGAAGAGACGGUAGCCAAGGAGGAAGCCCCGGCUAACUACGUGCCAGCCGCGGC
rnacentral:rRNA from 1 species